UUUCAAAACACAUUAUCUUUUAAGUACCCAGCCAGUUUCCAUCCAUAUGAAUUUGUGUGGGGUGGGAAUAUGGAAAAAGAAAUUUCCAGUUAAUAGUAGAGAAUUAAGAUCUCUUCAAUCAGUCUUUUCUUCAAGAGAAUAGAACUAAUUGUUAUCAAUGCCAAAUACAAAAUCAGUGUAUUGAAAUCAACCAUGAGGAAUUUCAUGACAGCCCACGGUUGAUGCAAAGGACACAGCAGUGAGAUGAUGGAUGCAUCCCUUGUCCUCCCCAUUAUCUCUACCCUGACAUGAUUUGAGAAUAUUGAACCGUGACAUAAAGACCGGCCUGGAGCAGCAGCACGAUGGAGGAUGGUGCACUUACACCAAACCCUGAGGAGAAACAGGAUUUGUGUUUCAGAGAAGAGCGUUUAAGAGGAAAUGUCAUCAAUUAGGUACUGAAUAAUCAGAAUUUGGAAUGUUGUUGGUAUCUUUAGCAUCUGUAAAUUAAACUAACCUCAAAACAACAUUAACUCUUCGGUAAUAAAGAAAACAAAGAUGGAGUUUA